rnacentral:lncRNA from 1 species
AACAGAGCGCUAAUGGCCUGCAGCGACAGGAGAGAGUGGGAAGUGGACAGACACAUUUGAAAAGAAAAACGGCUCUCAGCAUCGGCUAAGGCUAAGUCCUCAUUCUUUUACUCUCCACAGGUCUAUUUCUGGCUCCUCUUUCCACAGCACGAGCAGCUCCUCAAAGGAAAGAGCUUUCUCCUGACUGCCCUGACCUCCAGCCGAGCUCCGAAAAAGGAGGACAGGGUUGGCGCUCGCAGUGUUGACCCUGAACACAGC